GAUGAACGCUGGCGGCGUGCCUAAUACAUGCAAGUCGAGCGAACAGAUGAGGAGCUUGCUCCUCUGACGUUAGCGGCGGACGGGUGAGUAACACGUGGAUAACCUACCUAUAAGACUGGGAUAACUUCGGGAAACCGGAGCUAAUACCGGAUAAUAUAUUGAACCGCAUGGUUCAAUAGUGAAAGACGGUUUUGCUGUCACUUAUAGAUGGAUCCGCGCCGCAUUAGCUAGUUGGUAAGGUAACGGCUUACCAAGGCAACGAUGCGUAGCCGACCUGAGAGGGUGAUCGGCCACACUGGAACUGAGACACGGUCCAGACUCCUACGGGAGGCAGCAGUAGGGAAUCUUCCGCAAUGGGCGAAAGCUUGACGGAGCAACGCCGCGUGAGAUGAAGGUCUUCGGAUCGUAAAACUCUGUUAUUAGGGAAGAACAAAUGUGUAAGUAACUAUGCACGUCUUGACGGUACCUAAUCAGAAAGCCACGGCUAACUACGUG
rnacentral:rRNA from 1 species